CCCGACAAGACGCUCUUCCCUCUCUCGCCGUUCCAGACUGAAAGUUCCUGACUUCCAGUGCAUUUCAUCCGGCGAGAACUCGGGAUGUUUAUGUGUGUGUAACUUCUGGAUCAUGUGUUAGUUGUUAGUGGUGAUUUCUCUGAAGGAUCAUCUCUGCCUGUUUACCCUUUUUAACAUAACGGGAAUACGUAAAUCCUUGUGAGUGUUGUUGUUGUGGUCUGGAAAAGAAAAGAGUGGUGUUAUGAGUGUGUUCGGAAUGGUAACUAGUGGAUUAUGCUUUUGUUUAAUACUUAGGUUGAACUGCGAUGGGGAUAGAGAAAAAUGAGUCCAAUGCUGCUGUUUCCUUCCUGACCUCAGCCAUUUUCACCGCUGCCUGAGGAUAUGCCUUGACAAGGUUGCCUUUUUAUCGAAAUUAAUGUCGAAGGGUAAAAGGCAAAGCUUCUUGUCAUCAUGGUGGUGUCAGACCAAGAAAUCGAUCAGCUUUACGCGGAACGGUACAGGCUUGACCAGUUGUUCCAAAACAGUCCUGAAUUCCAGGACAGCCUUGAGAACAGCAGUGUAGCUGACUCCAGGUCUGGUAUUUCUCAAAGAUCCCGAGCCUCUCAAGGACGAGGUAAGAAAAACCGUCAUCAUCAUUCUGAAAGAGUUUCCACAAGUAAUAAUGAUGGGAGAAGCCCAAGAUCCUCACCUUCUCGUCGAAAAGAUGUUAAGGGCCAUCUUGGUCAUUCUCCCGGUGCCUCUCAUAAUCAUUCUCCCUCCCCCGGCUCUCAAAGGUGGCCUCAGAUUUCGGAAUCGCCGAAGGCUGCGAGUGGUCAAAAUACCCCAAGGAGUGAAUCAAGCCCUGUUCGGCGACCUCAGCCUCCUAUGCAGCCUGGAUUUUCUUACAUAUAUCCCAAUGCUGAUGCAAGUUCCCCUUUUGAGAAAAAACCAUUACGCAGGUAUUCAUUCCUUGGUAAUGCCAGUAACCAAGUUUCAGAUACUGCCCUACCUUUCAAAGGCAAAUUGGAGUACUUUGAUCGUCUCUCAAGAGGAUCAACACCAGAGCCUGCCAUAUCUCCCUUUUCUCAAGGACACAGAAGAGGGAGUUCACCAAAUAAGGUAAUUCCUUUAAGUCAUCAGGAAGCAAAGCUACAGUCAGAGGGUAGUUCCCCAAGGAGUGAUGCGACAAAGAGAUCCCCUUUUAUGAAAUUGCAUAGAAAACCAUCUGACGAGCGUAUUUCAUCACCUAACACUCCUGUAUCACCAGCCUCUCAUGGAAGCAGCUCUCACUUGAAAGGGAACCCUGCUAGUGCCGGCUCUUCUCCAGUGUUCAAGGAAAACAUAGGGCCUUAUGUGGGACCAGUACUUCCACCACUGCAGAUUCUCUUUGAAGACAAAUUAUCAAAAAGGAACAAAAGCCCACAACGUGACAAGAAAUCUAAUUUUGGCAAUGAACCUUCACCGGUUCACCGGCGGCAGGCAUUUAUGCAACUUAGCGAUAUAGAGGACAAAAGUACGCCGCCUUUAACGCCAAAACAAGAACUUAGAAGCAUUACCCACAAUGAACAUCAUGGAGAAGAUCAAGUAAGUGACAAGAGUGAGGAUAUCAGUCGCCUGAGCAGCUUUGCCGAGAUCAAGAAGAAUGAACAGAGAAAUUCACGUGGGUUGUUGGAAGUCAGCCGAGAUGAAAGAGAUGUUAGAACUCCCAGAGAUGAUGGAGAGUAUAGACAAAAUAGAAAUAUGAUAGAGGAAAGGAGUCAGAAGGAUUUCAGGAAUCAGGAUGAAAGGAAUGAAAGACUAGCAAGGAAGGUCAGGGAAGAAAAGGCUCAAAGAGAAGACAGAAAUUACAGAGAACCCAAAGGCCAUCGAGAUGAAAGAAGUCACAGAGAAGACAGAAAUGAAAGAGAAGACUGGUCACAGAGUCACGAUACAUCACCUGACUAUAUCGAUGACUCCAGGAAAAAGCACGAGCCAAAAGGCAACCAUGAAUUACCAGAGGUCCCUGGACGUUCAAAAAGGAAAACAGGCCUACAGCGUCACGUUAGCAGUCCUGCCAUAGACGUUAGCCGUAAAGGCCUAUCUGCAGGACAGUCCAAGAUCAGUGAUUCGAUGGCUCACAUAACAGAUUCCAUGUCUCAACUCAGAAGAAGUCUGAGCAAGAGAGUAGGACGCUCUGUCAGCCGAUCCUUCAGCAAGUCCAUCACAAGGUCAUUUGCCAGGAAGUACAAGAGACAGUAUGACGACGACUUCCACGACGACUCCCAAGGAGAUUCUGGCCCUAGGGAACACCAGCUUAAGAAGAGAAACUCCCGCCCAACUCUUUCUGACACAUUCAGCACCCUCAGGAGGAGUAAUGCCCUCAACUAUUCUGGGGCGUACCAGGCGCUCUUUGGAAACAGUGGCGACGAAAACGGCAAGAACAAAGGUGGCAAGCAGUCGAAGGACCCGAAGUCCAUUUCGGACAUCCAUCGGUUUUUCCAUGCGCAGGACAUGGAAGGGGACUCUAGGUCUCAGAAGUCCUACAAGUCCUCGUCGUUGCCGCAUCCCAUCGACGCCUCCGUCAGAGAUGAAGUCUCGUUGCAAGAAAAGCAUCCUGAGAAAUUCUGGACCUUCACCACAAGCGUUGUCCUGCCAGAUUAUGAUCCUAAGCCUGCGUAUCCAGACCAUCCAGAGCGUGACUCCUUAGACGGCCACCUACCUGGGUCCUCCCAUGGGACAGGCAACCCCCCUCCACCUCCUGCACCGCCUUCGCCUCCUUCAAAUACCAAUACCAAAUCUCAAGGUAACGGAUUCUCCAAAGGGCCGAAUGCAAAGAACAAAAAGCACAAGAAAUUGAAGAACGAGGCGGAUGAGGCGGCCGACUGCCCAGAGGACUCCACAGACAAGGACAAGAAGAAGGACAAAGGCGAGAAGACGUCCUCGUCGUUGACGUCAACGAAGGACAGAGACAUGGAGGCUGGAGGAGGGUACAGGCCUAAGACAGAGCCCUACACCUACAUGUGGGUCGUAAUGUCCAGUAUGUAUGGCAAGAUGGUCGUCCUCCUUAUGUUGGCCUUCUGCCUGACUGAAGUCCUGGAUAAUGACGUCCUGCCCCUCACAUUCCAGGGCGUCUUUCUAAUGUACCUAUAUGUGGGAUCCAUCGUAGCCAUUAUGUGCAUCUACGUCUCUGUCAUCAUCGACAACUGCCCCUCCAUGACGGCCAGCAAAGAGAACCUGACGAAGAACGGUGACCCGGAGUCAGGAUCCAUCACUUCCUUCGGCACCCUCAAGAGGGCGCACAUAUCGAGGUCCAAAACCUCCAGGACGUCGUUCUACCUCAGGGUUGGAGCCUUAGUUUUCGGUCUAGGAACCCUGAUCUCCAACGGCCUGGAGAUCGCCAUGCACUCCACCAUGAAGGGGGAAUGCGUGGAAGACAUCGUCUUCGCUCAUCCGAUUCUGCAAGCUCUCUUCACCUUCCUCCAGAUGCAUUUCCUCUUUGUCAAUUCAGAGGUCAUCGUGGAGAAGUUUGGCCAAGUGGCCCGAUUUGGCUUCAUGCACCUUGUGGCCACCAACAUAGCCAUCUGGAUCCGUAUGGUUGUGUGGGACUCUGCCAUUGUCUGGAUUCAGGACACUUAUGAAAACAAGGCCGUGACGGAAAUCCCCAAGCACGCGGAACAGGUCCUUCGUCUUUACUCCUGCCUGAAGAACAACUCUCUAGGACGCCUUUGGACGAACGCCCAGCCCUACCUGUUCCCAUUCCUGGUGGAAUACAGGUAUGACAGCAGCCCUCCUCGUGUCACGGUUCACGAGCUUCUUAGAAGUUCAUGGCUCUUCGUUUGAAAACGAGUCAUAUUCGAUUUUCAAGCCUCGUUUCGUAUUAUUGUUACGAAUCGUUAUUUAUUUAUUUAUUCACCUUUUCAUUAGAAUAGCUAUUUCUUGAGAAAACUCAUCUAAGGUCAAAUUUUUUUCGAUUCUUAAUAUUGCGUUCGUUGUGAUUCCUUUUAGAAUCUCGUGUGAUUUAAUUGUGAUGAAAUAACUGCUUUAUUUAAUUUCCAGUUAAAUUUUGAUAGAUUUUUAGGAUCUCAUAAAUUUCCCGUAUUAAAAUAAUUUCUCUUUUGAUUUACAUUUUUCAUUCUGACCAUUUAUUAAGAUUGUCAUUUUGGGAUUUAUCCGUUUAGAAUGUGUGUCAUUUUAAUAGCGAUCUCUCUAGAAUCUCAUUUCAUUUCAUCGUGAAAGUGUAAAAGGAAUUUCUUUUCAACUCUAGUCGCAUUUCGUCAAAGGAACCUGGCGCUCUAAUUCCCAGUUUCAUUUUGAUAAUGUCUGAUUUAGAAUCUCAUUUCAUUCUACCGUGAAAAUAGUACAAUAUUAAAACGGUAAUUUUGACAUCACAAUAUUACCCUGAAACCAUCACAAUAUUAAAACAGUUAUUUUAAUAUCAUAAUAUUACCCAAGAAAUAUUAAUAUUAGAAUUGUAGUUUUUCUGAUUUAAUUGCGUUAGAAGAUCGUCACUUCGAAACUUUAUUUCAUUUUGAACAUAAUGGCUGCCCCUUCUCAACAUGUUAACAUUUGGCCUGAGUCGGAAUUCAAUUACUUUUAUAGCUCAUUGAAUUUUUUAGAUGAUAAAUUUACAUUUUAUUUCAUAUUAGUGAAAAUUUAAAUGUUCUGUGAUUACAUCUGAAAAUUAUCAUCUUAUGUUUUUUUUUUAAAUACUUACAAAUUCUUAAAGAAAAACAUCAGUAUUGCUAAGUACUGCACCAAAUGUGAAUAGUUCUGUGACUUUUAAAAGAUGAAGUAGAUGGUCAAUUCUGUGUAACAUUAUUCAGUUGUAAUUCCUUAUUGGAAUUAAUUACAAGUUCUAAUUUUAUUUCUGUGAUGUUCUUGUUCACAGCUAUUAAUGAUUAUUGUCAGAUAAAUUUCACAUAUGACUCUUAUCAUACCAUGUAUAUAAUAUUAUUGUGCAUCUCGUGGACUUUAAACUUGACUUCUGUAGUGGACUUCGGCUUGCAUGCUGUUUGAGGACGACUUUCACCAGGACUUUGAUCAUUCCCUUUAGGACUUCCAUUUCCUCCUAGCCAAUCCACUCCCCCCUCUCUCUCUAGCGUCUACCUGCAUGACUUGGACCGUACACGGGACCUGGGAGACCCAUAGUCUUUUGCAGCUUGUACUACUUGUAAUAUUCUUGCACCCACCGGAAGGGCUUAUUUAGUAUUUGGGUGAAGGGUCACAUCUCGUCAAAGUUCGAUUUACUCGAGUGUUCGUGAAGUGUCACUCCAUUGCCACACCGCAGUCAGAGCAUCUCUGGUAGUUUCAUGUUUGUAAGUAAACUUGUCAGUUGACAGUCUGGAUCUACGUAAUUUUACCCUAUAUGAGGGACUCUUGUACUGGACUAAUUUACUGCCCAUAGCUGCACCAGCGCUCGGCUGUAGGAAGACUAUUUUGAUAUUUAAGAAUUCAAAAGCAAAAUUCUUACCUUAUCGUUUUAAAGUUUCGAUAUAGGCCUUAGCAUCUAAACCCUUUAUAAUAAAAGAUCUCAAGAUAUCAGUGCCUACCUGUGACCAAGAUGUUUUGAAAUUCCAAAUCGUGAUUGGGGUCUGAUGUCAUAAUUUUACAGUUAAGUGGCCAGAGCUCCCAUUAUUUUCCACUUUAUUUUCCUGAGACACAGUUCUGGUCUUAGUAUCAAGUACCUUAGUCAGUUAUUUUAGCAAGAGACCAAGUUUCGACGAUGGCUCCCGAAUCAUGUUCCAAAUGGAGCUCCCAUUGCCUUCAGCAUUCAGAGCUCCAGUUUUGGCCUUUGCCUACUGAUCCGCAGUUUAAACUCGAAUAUUGAAAGUCACGUAUGUGACUGCAGCCAGGUCGUAAGAUCAAGGAGCCUGAGGUAACAGAAAGUUAAGUGUAAUCUGACGUUGAAGUCUAGAGCUCCAGUUCAGACCUCAUGGAUCUAAGCUGCAAUUAUACAAGAGUUUUUUUUUUUCACUUUGAGCAUCCUAACUAUAAGUGUUUGAGGUAGGAAACUUGUUUGUCCUCAAGUAGGACUAGGACUGUGGACCAACUGCUGCACAGACCACCUGGUACAAACUUCUGUAUAGCUUCCAGAUAAUUUGUCCUGUACUGGUAUUUGUUUGACAGAUUGAUUUGAUGCACAAAAGUGAUGUACGUUUUACAUAUUUAAUUGACAGUGUCCCCAUCAAUUACUGAAGACUCACACAUCUCUAGACGUCUGAUUAUCCUUGCAUAACUAUUAAAUGGACAUCUAGGCCAGAAAUAUGUAUGUAUGUCUACCUUUGCAUUGCUUGCAGCACCGAUCCCAUUUUAAGUAUCAGCCAGUAAUUUAUGUCAGCCUUGAUGCAAGUGUAUUCUUGUGAAAUAUGAAUCAUAUCUGCUGGGGAAAUUUUCUUCUGUGAAGGCUUUCAACAAAAUGUCGAAAACUAAUCUUGGCAAGGUGUCCCUAAUGAUGGAGAAGUUACGUCUCCCUUUAAUUUGUUGGAAUUUUCAUCAAGGGACAGUAUUUUAUUUUUUAUCUUAAUGACACUUUUUCACUGAGGCAUUGGGCUGUUUUAUUCACUUGAGCUCAAACAAGACAUUAAGAACGUACUGUCUCCCUAAGGGAACUUGAUUCAAGACAAGUGUGAGAGUAAUUAGUCUACUGCUGAAUUAGCCCCACUUUACAGCAUACUUAUUGAUAGUAAUCACACAGACGUAGCAAUAUUUAAUGAGAAGUAUGUAUAUUCAACCAAUUUUUCCUCUAAUCAUUAUUAAAUAUUAUUUACUCCGAUUCCUUGAGAUUAAACCAAUUCCAGAAACUUGAUAAUCUUGGGACUAGCUGAAUGGGUUUCCAACUCCAUUUAGCUAUUCUAAUUCUGUUCAUGAUAGAGGUAUUUGUCAACUACGAACGAUUUACAUUAUUAUGCGCCACUACCAUCACCACAAUUAUAAAUACCAAGUUGGUGGUUUUUAUGAAAUACAGCACUAAAUCUUACCACAUUCAAAUGUAAUACUCCUACAAUCAUCAGAAUAAGAAUGGGCAAUAUAGCGACUGUACAGUGUUUACUUGUGAUUGAUUAAAACUUCAUUCCAUCAGAAGCAACGUGGGAAAGGGUGGCUCAACUAAACAUAUGCAUAGUGUUAUAUUCUGGAUGCAAUGCAGAGGUCCUUUUUUUUAAUUACUGUUAGUGUUCACUGAAGUAAACUGUUCUUUCAUUCUAAGAUUUGCAAGACGUGUGACUGGAUAUACGGAAGAAUUAGACUUCAUACACAUAACGGUCUCAUGUACUUAGUUCACUUAUUAGAGAUAUUGCAGAUUGUCUGUGCAGUAAACUUUCCAGGGGUAACCCAAGAGGAUUAUCCAAGCAGUUCUUGAAGAAGUAACGGAAGAUGUAAUGUGCAACUUCUGUGGCCAAGUUAUGGUUUUACAGUGCAGUAGAGGUGACGCAUCCAGAUUAUUUGAGUCGUAUUUCUGAACACAAGCUUGAUAGCAGCCGCUGUUACUUACAUCAUGUGGUGCAAUGUUGGAAAAGAAAGGCUCAAGAAACUCGGCCAGCUGGGAAAAUCUAACUCGGACGACUCAACUACUCUAGACAAACGCAACGUCAGAAAAGGAUAU